UCCCUGAGUAAAGCGGCGCACGGGUGAGUAACACGUGGGUAUCUGCCGUCUGAUGGGGAAUAACCUUGGGAAACCGGGGCUAAUACCGCAUAAGUCCGAGAGGAGAAAGCCGAAAGGCGUCAGACGAGGAGCCCGCGGUCGAUUAGCUAGUUGGUGAGGUAAUGGCUCACCAAGGCGACGAUCGAUAGCCGGCCUGAGAGGGCACACGGCCACACUGGCACUGAAACACGGGCCAGACUCCUACGGGAGGCAGCAGUGGGGAAUCUUGCACAAUGGGGGAAACCCUGAUGCAGCGACGCCGCGUGAGCGAUGAAGCCCCUCGGGGUGUAAAGCUCUUUCGGCAGGGACGAUUAUGACGGUACCUGCAGAAGAAGGUGCGGCUAACUACGUGCCAGCAGCCGCGGUAAUACGUAGGCACCAAGCGUUGUUCGGAAUUACUGGGCGUAAAGAGUGCGUAGGCGGUCGGCCAAGUUUGGUGUGAAAUCUCCCGGCUUAACUGGGAGGGUGCGCCGAAAACUGGCUGGCUAGAGUGUGGGAGAGGGAAGUGGAAUUCCUGGUGUAGCGGUGAAAUGCGUAGAUAUCAGGAGGAACACCUGCGGUGUAGACGGCUUCCUGGACCAUAACUGACGC
rnacentral:rRNA from 1 species